rnacentral:rRNA from 1 species
UCUUACCGGACCGACAGCAAUAUGAAGGCCAGGCUGAAGACUUUGCCGGAUUAGCUGAGAGGUGGUGCAUGGCCGUCGUCAGUUCGUACUGUGAAGCAUCCUGUUAAGUCAGGCAACGAGCGAGACCCACGCCCACAGUUGCCAGCGUACUCUCCGGAGUGACGGGUACACUGUGGGACCGCCGCUGCUAAAGCGGAGGAAGGAAUGGGCAACGGUAGGUCAGUAUGCCCCGAAUAUCCCGGGCUACACGCGAGCUACAAUGGUUGGUACAAUGGGUAUCUACCCGAAAGGGGACGGGAAUCUCCUAAAACCAAUCUUAGUUCGGAUUGAGGGCUGCAACUCGCCCUCAUGAAGCUGGAAUCCGUAGUAAUCGCGUUUCAACAGAACGCGGUGAAUACGUCCCUGCUCCUU